UCACCGCGGACUUUCGCUACUCUGGUUAAACGUAACAUAUAAGUCACUUAGACAACCUAAAAUGUUCUUUUUUUGUUUUGUUUUUUUUGUUUGACAAAGUUUGUUUUCAUAUUAAACCAGUGUCAGUGACGUCAUUCUACGCGACUACCACAGGUGAAGGUGCUGCCCACCCAUGAUGCCAGCAAGGUGCGUGCAAGUGGAUCCGGCCUUAAAACCACUGGAGUGCCCAGCUCUCUGCCAGUGAAGUUCAACAUUGAUGCCAAAGAUGCAGGACCCAGACGGGAAGCCCAAGAAGCAAAUAUCUGUGACAACCAUGAUGGGACCUACCUGGUGUCUUAUGUGCCAGACAUGACUGACAGGUUGCUUUGUUACACCUUCACCUGCACUUGAGAAUUAGCGCGACGUGGAGGUUUGGGAGCUACACCUGGCUUCUUUCUGGUAGCUGUCGGUGAGCUGCUUCGCCUCAGG